rnacentral:rRNA from 1 species
CAGUCGCCACGGUAAUACAGAGGGUGCAAGCGUUAAUCGGAUUUACUGGGCGUAAAGGGCGCGUAGGUGGUUAUGUAAGUGAGAUGUGAAAUCCCCGGGCUCAACCUGGGAACUGCAUCUUAUACUGCGUAGCUGGAGUGCAGUAGAGGGUAGUGGAAUUUCCGGUGUAGCGGUGAAAUGCGUAGAUAUCGGAAGGAACACCAGUGGCGAAGGCGGCUACCUGGACUGACACUGACACUGAGGCGCGAAAGCGUGGGGAGCAAACAGGAUUAGAUACCCCCGUAGUCCCUGUCUCUUAUAA